ensembl:lncRNA
GUACAGUUUGAUCCAGACACCAGGUUGAGCUAACCGAGCACAAUGACUACCGUUACCUGGAGAACACAGCUUCAGAUUGAAAUAUCUGGAAGCAGAUCCUUUUUAAAGCUGCUGCACCUUUCAGGGUCUUUGCUUCCAGGAAAAGGCAUUACUGGAAGCCAAGAGAGAAAGCUUCUAAGAAAAUCAAUCAACUAUUUUGUAGGCUCAGCUUUCCAGCUUAGUGUUCCUCUUAGACUGAUGUGUCUUCGUGACUGAAGACAGUGAGACAUAUCACUGAGGAACCAAUCACUGUUUACAAAGAAGGAUAAUCAUCUACAGUAUGUUUCAGCAGCAAUCUGUACACAGUGUAAGUGAUAGUAAAGAGGCUUCUAAGUCAGUUCAUGAGAUUUAUGUAUUGAGAAAAAUCAUUAAUUUGGAGUGAAAUUAGCACUAAUGAACAGAAACAUUUCGCUUAAAGACAGGUAUCAGGAAUUUGCAUAGGCUCAAAACACCAUCAGAAGUAUGAAGGAGAGCUUCUAGCUUUGUUUGAGAACUGCUGGUGCUCUAGGACUGAAGACUUCAGCUUCUAAAAAAAGUUUGCAACAUAAAAAAGUUGACGUUGAGAAUUUGGAAAAAACAUGCCCUUUCCAUCUGUUUUAUCAUAAAGUGUUAUCUUUGGGUAAGAAACCACUGAAUCAAGAAAUGAUAUCAUCUGGUGGCCUUCACAAAGUUGAAAGCUCCCAGAUUGGAAUUAAUUGGGAAGGCAGCAAUGAUCCAUUCAAGAUCUCCAACAGGGAGAACUUGUAGUGAAAAGAAAAUGAUAGGCACAGGUGUUGCAAGAGUUGCAGUGGCAAGUAAGGAGGUGUUAAAUGCCGACUUCAAUCCAAGGAAAUGGCAUAGCACAUCUGGUGGCACACAGAAGAUAAGAAGAAAAAAAAGCAAGCAAACAGAUGCACCUUAUUAAGACUCCAGCACUGCACCAGAUGCAAUGGCAUGGUAACUACAUUGCAAAAUAGAUUGCACUAUGCUAACUAGAACAUAUAAACUAGAUUGAUGCUUUCACAAACUGUGUGAGCCGAUACCUUUAAUUUUCAGGUUGGGCUUGAUUUCUGAUUAUUUUUGUCACAACAUUUUUCAAGGAUUUUGUGUUAUGAUUACAUGUGCUUUGCUAAAAAUAACAGAUCAAUGAAAAGAUGCAGAAC